ensembl:lincRNA
CUCAGGUGCUCGUCAGCAGCCCCCUCCCCACCACGCCUGCUCCUUCCCGCUCCCCCCCCCAGCCCCCCAGCCUCCUGCUGGUCCCUGCUCAGGCUGUUUCCACAGCGCCCUUGGCCCUCCCCCCCACGCCUGCUCCUUCCCGCUCCCCCCCAGCCCCCCAGCCUCCUGCUGGUCCCUGCUCAGGCUGUUCCCACAGCGCCCUUGGCCCUCCCCCCCACGCCUGCUCCUUCCCGCUCCCCCCCAGCCCCCCAGCCUCCUGCUGGUCCCUGCUCAGGCUGUCCCCCCAGCGCCCUUGGCCCUCGGCCGCUUCCCUGAACCUCCCCCCGCUCCCGCCUUGGCCGUGUGCGCCGCCCUGAGGACUUGGCUUCCUGCGGCUCGGGUCAGCCAGCCUCCUCCUCGAAGCUCCUUCCAGCCGCACCUCCUCUCCCAGGUAACACUCUGAGCUAGGCCUGCGACGUCAGCACCUGCCACCCCUCCCCACGCUCUGUCACCAGUCCCCAGCUCUCCUGCUUCUCCCUGGGGACACCCCAGCCCACCACGCAUGGGCACCCAGGGGUCAGCCCCGGUAACCUGCCGUGGCCCCUGAGGUCCCCGCUCUGUGACCGCCACCUCUCCCCGCUGCCGCCCCAUGCUCCUGAGGCUCCAGGCUGGACCUCGUCCGCCAGGCUGGCUCCACUCCAACCUCCCGCAGACCCCCGCUCUGAGGAGCCGCACGCCCCGGCCCGCUCGGCCCCAGGCCGCAGCCCCAGCCCGUGUCUGCCCGGCCCCCGCCGCCUGUCCAGCUUUCCCUCCCGCCUCGUGGGGACAUCUCCAGCCGCACACCUCCUGCCACGGGCUCCUGUGGCCCUCGGUCGGCAUCAUCAGCACGCGCGCCGCCCACUGCCAGCCCGCCCGCGACGCUCUCGCCCCUCGUUUUGCGGCGGCUCUCCCAGAAGGCCCUUCCUCCGGUCAGACAUAAGAUCUACGUGGAUUUGUGGGAAUCGGGGUACAAUCACCGGUCAGCCUCCAGGGACAACACACUUUCAAAGGGCCUCUUCAGGCAAGGACAAGGAGAAGGACAGUCAGAAGCUCUUAGAGGGACGACCAGGGCUGCGGGCGCUACUGGAACAGAGAGGGACCCCUGGAGCAUAGAGCCAGGCCAGCCAAGGACUUCCCAGCUCACAGUGUCCGUCCCGGGGCUUUGGAAUUCCUGAGCGGGGGACGGCUGUCUCCCGUCCUUCCUCUGAACGAGAGGUCUUGUUAUCACUCUCAGACCAACCACUGGAUACUGGACUGGUGGCAGGUGACAAACCACGGGCCCCCUCUGGCCACAGGUCCAGCAGGGCGUAGGCACCUGCAGAGGGGAGACACGCUCACGCCUGGCAUCGAAUCAGAGCACCCAGGCGAGUGCUUCUUGAGUUUAUUCAUAUUUGGGAGGUGCAGCUGUCCUGGCUAGACCAUGACACACAUUUCCUGUGAGCAUUGCAGAAUUCCAACGCUGACAACCUGCCAUCUGGUUUCAGCACAGUCUCUUAAGGGUGUGAAUCUUUUUUUAAGCUCUGAAAACCAUUUCAACAUCAGCCUGAUUGCCCAAAUAAGGCAAAUUAUGUUUUUUUUCUUUUUCCAAAUUAUAACCUAUUGAGAAUCUACUGUGUGUGGUUCUGUGCUGCAUUCUGUGGGUAAUUAAAAUGCCCAUGUGUGGCAAUUAUGCUGCAGCGCUCGCCAUCAAGGGCUACAGCCCGUCAUGAAGCAGAUGCAUGCAACGCUCAUGCAAAGCAUCAUGAAGUCAUUUUUAGUCUGAAAAACUAAACUGUAACAUAACAACUGAAGGAAAAAAUCCAGGGCGCUGAAGCCUGACAGAAAUCUAUAGGUCAUUUAUGGGCAUCUCCUCAGGAAUUUUAACCUCUUCUCAAGAGAACUUUUGUAAGAUCUACAGAUCACAAAUUCAGCUCUGGAGUUUCUCCAGCUUUCUUCCUCUUGGUCUUUAUGUAACCACAAAAUGAAUAAUGUGCUGAUUUAAAUUCCGAUAAAUGAAAAAGGAAGAAUACAUAUGAGUGUUUACAUCACAAAUUGAAAAUCACUCUUUGAAUUCUAGUUGACUCUUCUAAAAACUAUUUUCAUGGAGGCUACUAUUUAAUAGUUUAAUGAUUGCAAAAGAUUUCUUGAAAAAUAAAGAUGUUAUUUGAAGUGUUUUCCACAAAGGUAAAUAUAUUUUUCAUGAUUUUUCUUGAUAUUUGUUUAAAUAUAUCAACCACCUACAGUAGGAUGUAAGUGGCAUCCUUGUGCUACCUGGAUUGGUGAUUCUGAAAUCAACUUUGAUAAACAGUGACAUAAGGGGUAUUUUUAUAGUUUAUGACAGAUGGGAAAAGGAUUCACAAAGAUGAGUGGUGCUUUGGCAUAACUAACAAAAUGUGUCAAAGGUGUUUGGUUUGUUUGAAUAAAGUGAAAAUUAUUUAAAGUUAUGGUCAUAUAUACAUGGUAGAGGGAUUUGCUAAAUAAGUUCACUUCAAAAAUUCUCAUGCUGGCUGGUGGUGCAGCCAUCUGCCCCAGCCGAGAAGUGAGAACCCAGAGGUUCUGAGCAGACACAGCCUGCGAAGUGCAGUGAGGCUGGUCCACGAAAACACACCUAAGGUGGAAACUUCAUUCCAAAUAAAGACAGAAAAAAUCUCUUUCAUAAUUGAUUAUGCAACAAACUUUAAAACGACAGCCUGGGAAAGAAGCUCUUUCGUGAUGUUCACUUCUGCAGUGCUCUGUGAAGCCCUGGACACGUCCUUUGCUCUGGUAUAAAUGGACCCACCGGGGACAGAGGGCAUGGCUGCUUCUCUGAGACAGACUACAUUUCCACACGGCCCUUUGGGCCACUUCUCCCUCCAUUUCCCUGUUUUUCUAGAGGUGACGGAUGCCGGUGUUUGUUUCAGAUGAGCC